GAUGAACGCUGGCGGCGUGCCUAAUACAUGCAAGUCGAGCGAACAGACGAGGAGCUUGCUCCUCUGACGUUAGCGGCGGACGGGUGAGUAACACGUGGAUAACCUACCUAUAAUACUGGGAUAACUUCGGGAAACCGGAGCUAAUACCGGAUAAUAUAUUGAACCGCUUGGUUCAAUAGUGAAAGACGGUUUUGCUGUCACUUAUAGAUGGAUCCGCGCCGCAUUAGCUAGUUGGUAAGGUAACGGCUUACCAAGGCAACGAUGCGUAGCCGACCUGAGAGGGUGAUCGGCCACACUGGAACUGAGACACGGUCCAGACUCCUACGGGAGGCAGCAGUAGGGAAUCUUCCGCAAUGGGCGAAAGCUUGACGGAGCAACGCCGCGUGAGUGAUGAAGGUCUUCGGAUCGUAAAACUCUGUUAUUAGGGAAGAACAAAUGUGUAAGUAACUAUGCACGUCUUGACGGUACCUAAUCAGAAAGCAACGGCUAACUACGUG
rnacentral:rRNA from 1 species